ensembl:misc_RNA Y_RNA Y RNA
GGCUGGCUCUGAAGAUAGUGAGUUAUCUCAGUUGAUUGUUCAGAGUCAGUUAUAGAUCAAACUCCUUGUUCUUCUCUUUCCCCCUUCUCACUACUGCACUUGGCUACUCAAAA